rnacentral:rRNA from 1 species
UACGUAGGGUGCAAGCGUUAAUCGGAAUUACUGGGCGUAAAGCGUGCGCAGGCGGCUGUGCAAGACAGAUGUGAAAUCCCCGGGCUUAACCUGGGAACUGCAUUUGUGACUGCAUGGCUGGAGUGCGGCAGAGGGGGAUGGAAUUCCGCGUGUAGCAGUGAAAUGCGUAGAUAUGCGGAGGAACACCGAUGGCGAAGGCAAUCCCCUGGGCCUGCACUGACGCUCAUGCACGAAAGCGUGGGGAGCAAACAGG